ensembl:snRNA U6 U6 spliceosomal RNA
GUUAUUCGUGAAACAUUCCGUAUAUUUGAAGCAGAGAAGAUUAGCAUGGUCCUUGUGCAAAGAUGACACACAAGUCCAGCUAACCUAAUUUGU